AAAAGGAGCUGCGGUGAACCGGGCUCGUUCUUUUACGACGGAGCCUAAGAUAUUCUUUGUCUUGUCGGUUUUUACAGCAGGGUUUGCAGCCUUUUGUGCUGUUCCGAAGGUACUAGAGUCACCGAAAGAGACAUCCUAUUAUAUGCACGUUCACAAGGACAAUGGCGCCAUUGUUCUUCGCGUCUUCAAAGCAGCUACAAGAAGAAACCAAGAUGGAGGGGAGCCCAAAGCAUCUGAGAGAAUUGAUAAAUGAAAGAAACAUGCUUAAAACAUGACCGUUUUAAAGGUGAAUGCUGACCAGUGAGAUGCCAGCCUGCGUGUGAAGAUCCUACAGCAGAAGUGCAUGGCCAGUGACACAAGAACUUGCGAGAGAUGCCAGUCCGCCUGUGAAGAUCCUGCAGCAGGAGUGCAUAGCCAGUGACACAAGACGUGCGAAUGAAAACUAGAUGUGACCAUCCAGAAAAAGCAUAGACAAAAAAAUGCAGUCUUAGUACUGGGAUGUUUGAGAUGGGGUCUAUCUACAUGUCUCUAGCUGUCCCUAUCAGGACAGCAUCUGGUGUGGCCUGCAGAGUUGAUUCCUGUACUUUUUUUUUUUUGUGGGCUGUAUGUAAAUGGAUUGUUUUGACAAUCCAUUCGACAGUGUUCUCUUCUGUGAAGGUCAUAGGUGAGCUGAUUGACAGACACAGCUGUACAGACUGAAUGCAAUCCUGACUAUAAAGCUGCAGUUCAUCAUUAUGAGCUAUUUCCUUAUUCUGGCAGUGAUUGAAAUAAAAUGGGGAGUAUUGAAAUAAAAAACAUUCAAUUGCAAA
rnacentral:lncRNA from 1 species